UUGCAACCUCGUGCAUUGCAGUUCCUGUGCGUCAUCCGCAUCCAUCUGCCGACUGCUCGCUAUGUCUUGUUUGCC
rnacentral:sRNA from 1 species